UGGAAUUCGGAGUUUGCAAAAUCCAAACGCCUCAGAUUUGGGUGAAUCAUCGGGAAUGGAUUUCGAGGAAUCGUUUCCUCUUACCAAACAUCCCCAGUUCACUCGUUCCUAACAACUGCCACUGCAGAAAUUUCGACUCACUCGAUCUUGAAAUCUAAUUGUGCGAUUCAUACAUUAUCUUACUAUUGGGCUCGUUCGAUCUAGAAUUCUAAUUCGCAGUCUGAUCGACUCGAGAAUUCUGAUAGGGAAAUUGUUCCUUUUUUCCAGAAGGUCGGGGGAAAGCUCCGAUCUGAGAAAUGAUCACUCGUUCUAAGCUCGUCGAGCAACUCAGAGAUUAUGACAUUCGUUCACGGCAAAAGCGGAACGCCCUCUCAAUAUUCUCCCCCAAACACCAGAUCACUACCAGAAGUUGGUCUACUUGUGCCAUGGAUCAAAUAGAUUAAUGUACACUGAUAACAUGUAGAAGUUCCGAGGUCGAACUCAUAUGCUCUAUGAAUCAUACGCAACAAGAUGGCUUAUAUAAAUAUUUAAAGAUAGCUCCUGCCUCCUGGACUGGUAAAGAAGUAUUAUCCAAUGAUAAUAGAUCCCAGGUUCAAUAAACGAGUUAUUGCCUUCGAGUCACCUGGUAGCAAUCCCAAGAAUUUUGAAGGCGCUAACUAGUAUCUUCGUCUUGCGUGGGUUAAUGCACCUCUACCCUGAUUUGGCUGAUGAAAUUGUGGCUGCCUUCUUUGCCAUGCUGUUUUUUGUGCUUCUAAUAUCAUCCUAUUUGACACUUUACUUCAGACACUUCAAUCUUGGGGUUUUUAUUAUAUUUCUUUGUAUUCUUCUUCCCUUAUCUCUGAAGGUUUCUAGACAUAGAAGUUCACUUAGAACGAAAAAGGAGAGAAGGAUGUUAUUACCACUUUCUAUGUGACAAUUCCUACAAGUUCAUGUUUUGCUGCUUCCU